GCCUGGUUGUCCUGGAUGGCCUCCUGGAUGCACUCGUCGAAGGAGUCAAGCUCCGCUUUCCGCUUCUCCUGCUGUUUCAGGCCAUACUCAAAAAUGUUCAGGCAGAUGAUGACAAAUUUGUCCUUGUAGGGUCUCACAAGAGGGAUGAGGAACUGAGGCCCAGAGUGGAGAGGGACUUGCCCCAGGCAGGCUGGGACUUAGGCUUUGCCACAGGAGGGAGCCGUGAACUUGGAAGGAUAUGUCUCAAAGAGCUCCCUGACACCAGGCAGACAGCCCAGCUUGUUGCCCUCUAUGUCCUCAGCAUACAUGCUGUCAAACAGGAAGGAGUCAUUCAGGUGCUCGACAAAUGCAGCCUGUGUUCAGAAACAUAGCCAGGCUCAGCCCAGGCCCCACCUGAGACCUUCUGACAACCUCGCCUACUCUGGCUCCCUCAAGAACACUGCCAACUCACCACCCAAGAUGGACCUCUGUCUUCCAGAGUCCCACUGAGGCAAGUCUCUGAAUUGUGAAAGGAGCCUUCGUUUCCUCACAGCACAAUGGGGAUGCCCAGGCUAUGUUACCUGCCCUGUAUGGAAGCUUCUGGAGACCAAGGAGAUAAUGCCUGGAGAUGGACUUUGGAACAAUGCAGUCCCAUGGUUUUAUAAUGAGUGAAACACACCCCAGCAGUUCUUGGGUUUAUUCUAAGCUUAUCUGGUUGCCUUUCAAAUCAUUACCUAA